GUCCCGACCGCUCCCCCAUCCCCCAUCCCCCUGGGUUUUCCUUUCGGGGGACUCUAGUUUCCUGUUGAACUGAGGCGGGCCAGCCGCGGGGACAUGCAGCUGCUUGGCAUUUGCUCUGGAAGGGGAAUGGACUUGCUUGCGAGUUCCUGCAGUGACCGGUCCAGCAGAGCCCCAGAUCCCUGCAACUUUCCUGGAGUGAGGAACGGCUCCAAGCUUUGCAGCAAAGCUUCUUCCUUAUAUAAUUUGUGGAUUCCCACAGCCUGUGCUGCCUGUUUAGAAAAGAUAAUGGAAGAGACACUGCUUUGAAGGGGAAAGACAUUAAGAAGAAGGUGAGUUUUCUUAUUGCACACUGCAGGAAAAUGGAACACGUGGCAGAGGCCCUGAUUUUUAUGUGAAUGUCUGACACAACUUGCUCUAGACUUCAAACUCCAGGUUGGCACAAAGCAGCACACACGUUUUCCAAUCCAGACAGACUAGAACACUUUUUUGCACCAACAUUAAGAAUUUUAUAACUAUUCAAAAUCAGCACCAAUUAUUGGAUUAAUAUUUUAAUAAUUACACAGUUUUUACAUUAUGAAAAUAAAUCAUAAAUAGUGUAAAAAUAAUUCUGAAGAUCAGCUUCUCACAAACAAGAAACAAAACCUGAAGUACAAAACUGAAAGAAAACAAAAUAAUAUUCAACUGAAAAACAAGGAGAAAUUUUAAUAAUAAAAACAAAAGCAUGCUGUUUGAUCAGGUUCAAUUAAGUCAAGACCACUGGCCACAAGAAAGUGGUAAAUAAUAACAAAUUAAAAUGUGUGAUUAAAACCUUGCAAUUCUUUACAUUACUCAUCAAAAGAGGUCUUGUGACAUAUUUACAGUGCUAAGACACUCAAAAUAUUCCUAGUAUUGAUAAUAUGAUGCUGACCCAUGUAUUUUUUCCCCCAAGCAUUGACAUCCUUGCCAAAUUACUUUCUAUUUUUAUCUCUUCUACUUCAUUUAUGAGACCAUUUGCAAUACAAAAAUAACGGCACAUAUAGAUGAACUUAAAAAAGUUAAAAAUACAAAUAAAAAUAUAUAAUAUUUUCCAAAGGAAAAAGUUAGAUACAUACAUCUUAGCAACAUUUUUAAACUUGUGUGAUAUUUUCCCAAACAUGUACAAUAAUAUAAGAAUAUCCACAUAUAUGUUAACAAUAUGUAAAACAUUCUUCCACCAACCCAACUCUCCAUAAUACUUCAGAGAAGUGUGCAAGUACCAAUGGGAUCAGGGAAAUUAAUACAAUUUCUUUUUUAAAUAGAAACAAGUAAAACACUAACGGUCCCAGGUUAAGGCCCCCCGCUUUCAAAGAAAAUUCAAUUUCCAAGCAGCAUUGAUAAUUGGAUGCAUUUAAAAACAAAAUGAAACAAAAACAACACUCCAAAUCCCUUUUAAAAUACAAACUCCACUUGUUCUGUGGAGUAUCUUUUUCAGAAAUGAUGGUGGCAGGCAUUUGUUUCUAACUGCAUGUAAUGAAUCCAACCACCACAUAAAAUACUUUAAUAACAGAGGGUCCAAGAAAACCUUCAUUUGUACAUUACAGCAACAUUGACAUCCAUAAAAACAAAUUGCAGAAAAGAAAAAAAAAAAUCCAUGUUAGUUUUAAUUCCAGUCACUGAAAUAGAAUUUUUGCAAUGACUACAAAUUAGACUUUCUUUUAACCACUAUCUUUGAAGAUGUGUUUUGUGUGAGUCUUUAGUGGGAAAAUUUAGGAAUCUCAUUAGGUAAAAUACAGAGAUUUAAAGAUGUAAUUUAAGAUGGUCAAGCAGCAGAGAUCAGGAAAUUUGAAGGGAAGGGUCAACUUCUGCAUGCCUUGAACCUCUUCAUCACUUUCAAUAAACAGGCUGACAAUAUCUCUGCAGUUCUUACUGAAGUAAUCCUGAUUUAAGCAAAACCCCACUGCUGAACGUGGUAAUAUUCCCCUUGUUACAAAGCAUGACACCUGGGUCCUUCCUCCUGCAUGUCUUAAAGAGCUUUGCAAGGAGAGGAUGCAUCUCUGUCCCCUGGUCCUUGCUGGGGAUGGGGAGGCACAGCCAGGGGAGGAGCCUUGCAUGGCUGAGCCAGGUUUACGAUCCCAGUUCUGGGGUGGUCAGUGAGACAACUCUCUCCACACCCCAUGGGGAUCCAGGAUCCCAGCCACAUGUCCUGGCACAGCCCCCAGCCUUACAAGCACCACCCUCCCAUGAGGACCAAAUGUCUGCUGAUCUCAUUUGGGGUUGCUUUGUCUCUCUGGUGGCAUAACCAAGUAACUGGUGGUCAUACGCACCCUGUCCAUGGGUGCGAUGCCCAGUGAAGCCAAUGCUAACUUCCCACACUGUACAUCAAUCUUAAGAAUUAUUACUUUUCCAACUCUAUACUUUACACAUGUGCAGAUAUAUGGAUUUGAUCAUUCUGAAACUCAUUCAUACUAAUUCCACCACAGACUAAAAGAACAGCUGGAUGAAGAGUAUCAUUCUGCUUUGCUACACUAUCAGAAUAUGACAUCACAACCAGCAAUAAAUAAAAAUAUAAAUCAAAAAAUACAUUGCAUCAUUGCUCUUUGAUUUAACAUUUCAUUCUCUACCUCAGGGAAAAAAAAUUGUCCAAAGCAUCCUGAAAGAAAGCUUUCCCAUAGUUAGUCUAUGAAUAUGAAGACAAGGACCAUGUAUGUCAGACAUAUUCUAUACAGCACUUAAAAGAUUUGUGGCCUCUGUGGCAGGACUUCUGCACAAUGUGGUUUUAAUGCACUAGAGUAACAGAUAAUUACAAAACUUCAUAUGAAACAAAAACUGAAAACUCUCAAAGAAACAAGGAUUAAUCAUACCUGAAAAAGUCAGGGAUACAGAAACUGGGUAGACUAAUACCACUACACAUUUCUACAACUGAAAAGACUGGUAGAGGAACUACUGUUCCUGUCACAAACUACACAAAAUAAAUCAUAUCUAUCUGGAGGAAUGACACUAAAAGAUACAACAACACACUGGCAGUUCAAACUGUAGCUUUCCCAUCAAAAGGAAAAAGAUAUAAUGGCACCAGAAAUAGUUGCUUCUUGAACAAAAUAAACACAUUGCAAGUCUUCACAGGGUGCUUUUCUUGAUGAAAUAUUAAAUCAAAUAAUUUUUUUCUUGUACUGACCAUGCAACUUUUCUAGAUAUGGUUAAGUUUCAUUUCAAUUCAAUCUGAUAUGCAAAUAUUAAUGCCAAAUCUAUGUAUGUAGUUAAACCUUUCAAAUUAAAUUGUUUAUCUAUUGCUCACUCAUGGACAUUUAAAAGGAAUGAACAUUUCAUGAUACUGAACAACACAAAGACUAAAAAAGCCAAGUAACAUAAUUUGGAAAAAAAAAAGUAUUCCUACCUGCUGGGAAUUUAAUAAAGAAAUUAAUUUACAAGACAGAAAAGAAAGCAAAUGAAGGUGCUUAAGUGUUUCUUCAGUAGGGUCUCAGUGUUGGGGAGUCAAAGAAUUGAGUUUUGACUAAUAUUUAACAGUAGUGUCUAUAACUAUUUCCUGAAUGACAAAAUCAUGGAUCAAAGCUCUGCUAGCUUAACUGGUGCAUAUAGAAAUGGAUGCUAGGAGGGCAGUUAAAAAAUACAGGUACACAAAUUUAAAAUAGGAAAAAGGAAGUGCUUAUGACAUCAUUAUUUAUCUUGUUCCUAUUCCUUAAAUGAGUCGUUUGUGGACAGUCUCAAUAUUGUGUUGCUAAAUCAUCUAGCCAGAUAAUAAACAUCCUACUUGAUUUUGCAUGUAAAUACUCUGAAGGAGGUUUAAAAAAUAUUUCAUCUAACUGUAUUGAUUGCCAGUAUUCGAUAUAAUAAAAAACAUUCAGCUUCUAGUCUCCCCAUCUAGCACAUACCCGGCUGUAGAAUUGCAUUUUAUUGAAAUGGUAUGCUCUGGCUCACCCCUGGAAAGUGUAUGGUUUAUCCCAAGUCUGUAACCUCCCCUGCAGUAUCGUGUGUCUGUAAACCCAUUGGCCUGAAGAUCUGUCUGCGCCCAUUUUGACACUCCCUGAUAAAGGUGCAAAAGGAGAGGGCCCUCUUUGCCCUGGAGGCCUCCGGAGGCUCUGCUCCUCUCCCCUUGCCUCACCCCUUCCCCCUCCCCUUCCCCCUCCCCUUGCCCCUCUCCACCUCCUCUCCCC